rnacentral:misc_RNA from 1 species
GCGCGCGCACUUUGUGCAGGCGCUGACGUUCGGGCCGACUUCUCGCCCCUCUGCGCCUCUGAUAUGCACAAAUCGUCAACCUCGUAGACUGUGCGGUCACUGAAGAACGCACCCUGCCCGUGAUCGCAUCACGAGGAACGGCAAAGCAGUCCAGCACCAUCAGGCUCGACACCGUGGUCGCCUACCCUGGCCCGCGUCCCGUUUUUCUUUGUGUGCAUGUGGGUGGGAAGUAUUCAAGGUACGACUCAGCCAUGCAGUUGCAGUCUCGUGCGCCAGAGCACUUCUCAGCGCCCUUCUUUGCUUCCCCAUCCUCCUCCGUUGCCUGCGAGUCAGGCUGCUCCUUGGACGCACUAGAGCGCCUUGUGCAUUUCACCGGUGCUGGGGCAGACGCAUGCCUCUACGCGGUGCAUCCAGCGCAAGCCGAGGGAGCCGAUUCGGCGGUGCUGACCCCCACCGCUGAAGGGCUACGCUACUGGCUGAACCCAUCCGUGCGAGCGCGUCCGACCACCGCCACGUGCGAGAUUACGAACCUGGGGCCACCCUUCUUUGCCUCCACGUCGACGUCCGUGCUGCGCAUCUCUGCCACCCCGCUCUUCGUUGAUGGCCGCUGUUUUCCCACUCGCUGCGUGGUAAGUCUGGCGACCAGCGCGCAACGGCUCGACGGGGUUUCGCUGCGGCCUGUAGUGGUGACAGAGUGGAAUUUGACUGCGAGUGGGGCGGCUGGCGUGUGCGCGACAACGGUUCCCCUGCGCACACUCUAUCACCUCGCCGUGCUAAUCAGCUCCUUUGUGCCGGCGACAGGCGUAGAAGAGGUGCGCCUUUACCUCCACCUGCGCUUCAUGGGGUGCUCCGAUGGCUCUGACACGCACCGGAUCGCGGCGGUGCGGCUGCGUUAUGAGCAGCUGGGCACCGCCGCCGAGGUACUCCCGCAACUCCUGCAACGGCGGCAGCGUGCUGCAGCGCGCGUGAUGCUCCCGCCAUCGCCGUAUGACGUCAAAGACCACAGCGAGGGUCGUGUCACCAGAGCGGGUGCACCUCUUGAGGAGGUGGAGGUGGGCGUCACCGCAGGCAGCAGCACUGCCACUAGCAGUGGAGGGAAAGACAUGGGCGACGAUGUCGGGAAGGGUCGCCUUGCCGGUGCAAAGGAGCGGCGCACGCCCACGAGCCCGCCCCCCUCGACGAGAAUGAGGUCUGACGGAGGUGAGGACGCCGCGGGGGAGGCGCAGCAACAGCUGCUGCGCUCUCCGCCCCAGCGAUCAGCGACGAGGCCGCGCGCCGAGAGGUCGCUGAGUGCAGACCGAAGCAGCUCUUCCUGGAUAGAGGCUGCUGGACCCACCGAGGGUCGGGAUGGCCCGAAACUCGUUUGUGUCGAUCGCGUGCUACGCAUACCACCCCCUCCACCAAAGUCGGCCGCUGCCGCGGGCUCAGCGCCUUCGCUGUUAAGUGGUCCGUGGCCGCCACGCAAAGUGCGCACCAUCGUCCUGGCACCCUCCAUCUCUCCCAGUCUCUGCUCAUCUUCCGCUGGCACCUCGCCCCGAGGCUCUCCUUUGCCUCUGCCUUCCCCGCCUCCCACCACGAAUGCCGACUCUAGCGCUAAGGCGCACUCGAACACUUCACUCGCCGGCACCGCGUGCUGCCGCGAAGCUGAGAGCUGCGACAGGGAGGGUUUUGAUGAUGCCGUGGACGCGCUGAUGCCCCUAACUCAGCAGAACGUCCAGGGACGCUUUCUCGAGUGUACGAAGUCUGACGAGCGUACCUCUUAUCCCGUCUCAGCUGCGGGAACCUCUUCACAGAGGUGCCGUUGCCACGAGUCGUCCUCCGUGCCGCGACAUAUAUCGUCGGCGGAGGCACGGGAAGUGCCGCAGACAGUGGCGGAAAACCGCCCUGAUCCUCAUCCUCACCCGUUCGCGCCGCAGCAGCUAUACGCCCACUCAGACCCUGCCGUGCUGUGGGCCGCCACCUCGCUUCUGGGUACUCUGCCAUGGACCCUGGCUAGUCAGCAUCAAAGCCGCACCAGCACCCCAGCCGCUUCAGUGGCUAGUAGUCGUGCGCCGUCGUGCGACGGCAGCGCUCAAGCAAUGCCGACUGACUCGGCGAAAGGGGUGCCAUGUUGGCAGAUGCGGCAGCCAGCCCCUUCCAAGUCGUUUCUCGACCCUGGCUCAUGUGCGCACCGCAGGGAUACACAACAGCCGCAGCAGAAAUCAUGGAAGAGAACGCCCCUCGGCGCCUUAGACCGAAAUACGAACUCCCAUCGCCCUGAACGGACGACAGUGGCGGCAAAGGCGGAUUCGGCUGCCAUGACGCAAACCUACAGCACAGAGUCCACGACCGCAUUCCCCCGACAUUGGCGGCGCGACGAGAGCGCUCAUGUAUCACCACAGCUACAUCCGCCUCAUCCUUUCGCCACCGCGUCGCUGUCCCCCUCACACCCAGAACCGUUCAGUCGACCCUCUAUCCCUCCGCCAGCCACAACGUACGCACCGCUGCAGCGUCCCACCUCUGCUUUUGUGCCCCGGCUGCUUCUGCGUUCUAGGCAACGCAGCAAUGAGACCCGUGCUGCCUCCUUCACGCAGCGGGGAGGAGGUGCGAUCACCACCAACAGUAGCAGGAGCAUCGGCAGCAGUGCUGCGACCACAGGCACAGCAGCGUCCGCGCCACCGCCGUCUCAAAAUAGGGGUCUCUGGUCAAAGGCUGCUGCCCCUGGCGGCGCCUCAUCAUCCCUCGAUGCCAGACCGCGCCGCAGUGCUACCGCCGAUGUGCAUGAGCGACGACGGCUGAGCACGGCCGCGUUUCCGAUGUCUUCCUCCGCCGUGCUUUCAGUGAUGCCGUCCUCGUGGCUACGAGGCAAUGCGACUGUCGCACCGGAGGCCCCUACUGAAUCUGCGGCUGAAGUAAAAUCGCAGAGCUCUACGGCUUCCCAGCGAAGCUUUCGGUCAUCCACUGCGCCCCCGUCGAGUCGCCGCCCCCAGUACGUCUCUUCGCCCGCCGGCGCGGCCGACAUGAAGUGCAUGGAGGACACUGUCUCGGUCGCAUCUGGGAGCAGCGCCCCGCUGCCGCCGUCGCCACUGCCGCCGCCGGAGAGCUGCGCACUUUUCCAUAGCCCAGCGCCCACACACUCAUCGCUGUCGUCCUCGCCCUCUUCGUCGAGCUCUCGCUCCCGCGCUGCGCCUGCGCUGCCUCUGCAAGAGGCGCACGACGGCAGCCGCAAUCGUAACCGCCCGCGGCAUCGCAGUGUCGCACAGUCUGGCGGCGGACACGGUAGCAACAACCCCUCGACUUUUAGGCAGUGUGUGGUACAGACGUUUGCAGUGUGGAAGCACCAUGCGUCGCGCCGAGGUGUUGGGCGCCGCUGGCUGCGCAUUGAGCGGCUGCCUCCGUCGCCCUCCACAUCGGCGGCAGUUCGCUUCCGCAUUACGCUGGACAAGGUGCACCCACCCAUCUUGGCACGGGCCUCGAUGCUGCUAGGACGCAGUAGCAGCAGCAGCGGGAACAACAGCGUCCAUGCAGCUAACCCGUCGUGUGAGGUGUGCAUACGGCGGACGGACAAGGUGGAGGUGUGGUGCGGUCUUCGCGCUUACCACAGCGGAGUGAUUCACCACAGCAAGGUUCACCGGGCAGAGUGUUGUUUGGUCAUCCGGUGCAAUGCUCAGCUGGUGAUGGCGGUGGAGUUGGAGUCGACAGAGGCGGUCGACACAGUUCGACGUCUUCUUUCCGAUCGCCAACUCACAUCUCAAGCAAACAGGUAGCGUGCUGUUGCCGCGGGCACGGAGGCGAGCGUAGAGAGCGCGAGGGAGCGUGCAAGGGAAGUAAGCUUGCCAGCGAAGGUGUAGCGCGCUUCAGGCUCCCGCCCUUUUACGGUUGCGUCUUUCUUUUUGGCUCACCUUUUUUUUUCCUGCCUGUCUGUCUAUGUGUGUGCGCGCGUGUGCACGCUCCUUUCGCUAGAUUAGAUGACGCGCAUGUGCGCGUACGUGUGCGUGCACCCAUGUGUGUGUAUGCCUCAGCGGUGAAGGUAGGCGAGGGCCAGCGCACACCGUAGAUUCUCUCUCCUAAUGCGUGUGCCGCUAUGGCGAUGCUCUCUUCUCUUGUUUUCUUUUCGUGGAUGGGGAGCAGGGUGCGUAUCACAGCUAGAGACGUGGUGAAGCGCGUGAGAUGCUUUCGCUUGCGUCCUUCUUUGAUUUUUUUUUUGUGCGGGUGCUGACAGAGGGCGGACGAGUGAAGGAGCAGGCACCAGUGCAAAGCAUGACGCACGUCUGUUUCCACCUCUCGUUCCACCUUGGCUGGGCCUCACCACCUCUCCUUGGCUUUGCACCACGCCUCU